UCACAGAAAAUAUAAAUUGACGGUAAUUAUCCGUGAACUAGUUUCCUAGAGCUGCUGUAAUAAACUAGCACAAACUAGGUGACUUACGACAGGAGAAAUUUAUUGUAGUUUUUCUUUAUUUGUGUUAUGUUUGUAGACCCCAGUGGAUGCCAGAAACUGCAGAUACUGUCGGAUCCUACUUAUUCCUGCUCCUGAAUGUGCACAAUCAUCCCUUACUUCAACAGACCUCAAGUGAAUCGGCCUAUCUGCGGAAGAGAAGAAAGGAAGCCACCCAAAGGCCCUUUUUCGCCUUUGCAAACUGAUGGUUUCCAAGCAGUUUUCUGGUGUUUGGAAACACUGUGUAGUAACUGGGGGAAGAGGCAGCUGUGCUUUGGCCCACAUGAGGAACACUGUGAAAUUAAGUAUCCUUACCACAAGAGCCAGCGAACUCAAGGCCAGGACCAGAGUGAAGUAAAUGAUUCACCGUGGUGCAGACCAGAAAGAGGCUCUUUCUUCACAUCGUGCAGGCUCGGGAUUAGCCUUCUUUGGUGUCUCCUUCCCUUCUCCAUCGGGGGAGCUUCCUGUGCCUCACUCCAGCUCAGCCAUUGAAAGAACUAUCCAGAGACAAAGGGAUCAAUUGUGCCCAUCAAAACAGAAUUCCACACAGUUUUAGGUCCAUUCUUGAGAAACUAGCUCAAAGAACUGAUAGUUAUUAAAAUUUAGUAGCUAGUACAGUUACCUUGGAAGUCAGGGCUAGGACAUCUGCCUGUGCAUUUGCAAUGUACUAUGAUUGUUUUUCCAGAAAUUAGAGCUCCAACAUCAGAUUUUGCUAAAUAGGUAUUUUCCAAUUACAAUUGACAGUUUUCAUCUGAUUUUAUGUUGGAACUCAGAGGGAAGUCCCAAGGCAGUCCCAAAACCUGAUAAAAUCAUUGAGAUCCUCAGCACUGAAUAUUCCUAAAUACUGCCCUGCCAUCUUCAUGCCUAUGCUGGAGAAGGCCCAUGUGUAAUCGUCACGUGAUUGUUACCUUGUGCUACCAACAUUAGAGAAAGUCCUAAGGGUUCUUUGGUUGUGUGUUGUAAGUUCUAUUGAGAUUCUCACAGAAAGUCAAAUCGAACAAAAAGGCAUAUUUGAGAGCCAGUUGACAGAGUAUAUAGUGCCCUGUUUUGCAGCCUUCCCAAUGCCUGCAUUGAAUUGAAUUAGCUCCAAACCUAAGAUGAACAAUAACUUCUGGUUACCUCUCUCUAAACGACGGAAUGAGUAUUUCUACUCCAUGGAGCCACACAUAAAUAGCUUGGGUGACCUUUAGGAGGAAAGCAAAACUAUUCAAAGCAGAAGUUUGUUGUUGUUGUUUUUUUAACUUUUUGUCUGUUUUGUUUUUUUCAAAACAUUUUUUCUUGGCUUCCAUGUCAUGUUUGUUAAUGGUUCUAGUGAUGAGCACUGCAUUUCAGAAUUUGCUCAAAUCCUCAUGGAAGCAGCAACUAAGACUGGAGAAAACCUGGCUCUGUCAGGUUAAUCAC
rnacentral:lncRNA from 1 species